rnacentral:rRNA from 1 species
UUAAGUCCGCUAACGAGCGCAACCCUCGUCGUAUGUUAUAUGUGUCAUACGAGACUGCCGGUAAAAGCCGGAGGAAGGUGAGGAUGAUGUCAAGUCAGCAUGACCUUUAUAUCCAGGGCUACACACACGCUACAAUGGUCUGUACAAUGGGUAGCCAAGCCGCGAGGCGGAGCCAAUCCUGAAAGCAGGCCUCAGUUCAGAUUGCAGUCUGCAACUCGACUGCAUGAAGCCGGAGUUGCUAGUAACCGCAGGUCAGCAAUACUGCGGUGAAUACGUUCCCGGGUCUU